rnacentral:rRNA from 1 species
AGAGUUUGAUCCUGGCUCAGGAUGAACGCUGGCGGCGUGCUUAACACAUGCAAGUCGAACGAAGCACUUUACCUUGAUUCCUUCGGGUUGAUUGGUACUGUGACUGAGUGGCGGACGGGUGAGUAACGCGUGGGUAACCUGCCCCAUACAGGGGGAUAACAGAUAGAAAUGUCUGCUAAUACCGCAUAAGACCACAGCGCCGCAUGGCGCAGGGGUAAAAACUCCGGUGGUAUGGGAUGGACCCGCGUCUGAUUAGCUAGUUGGUGGGGUAAAGGCCCACCAAGGCGACGAUCAGUAGCCGACCUGAGAGGGUGACCGGCCACAUUGGGACUGAGACACGGCCCAAACUCCUACGGGAGGCAGCAGUGGGGAAUAUUGCACAAUGGGGGAAACCCUGAUGCAGCGACGCCGCGUGAAGGAUGAAGUAUUUCGGUAUGUAAACUUCUAUCAGCAGGGAAGAAAAUGACGGUACCUGACUAAGAAGCCCCGGCUAACUACGUGCCAGCAGCCGCGGUAAUACGUAGGGGGCAAGCGUUAUCCGGAUUUACUGGGUGUAAAGGGAGCGUAGACGGCAUGGCAAGUCUGAUGUGAAAACCCGGGGCUCAACCCCGGGACUGCAUUGGAAACUGUCAGGCUAGAGUGUCGGAGAGGCAAGUGGAAUUCCUAGUGUAGCGGUGAAAUGCGUAGAUAUUAGGAGGAACACCAGUGGCGAAGGCGGCUUGCUGGACGAUGACUGACGUUGAGGCUCGAAAGCGUGGGGAGCAAACAAAAUUAGAUACCCUGGUAGUCCACGCCGUAAA